AGCCCGGUCGUCUAGCGGCCAAGCCAUCUGGUCAGAAGAGGGGCUAGGGAUCCCGGGCUCUGGAUCAAGAAUACUGGAGGGGAGCCCCGGGGACGCCGGUUCGAAUCCGGCCCGGGCUA
rnacentral:tRNA from 1 species